UACGUAGGUGGCAAGCGUUGUCCGGAUUUAUUGGGUUUAAAGGGUGCGUAGGCGGCUUUAUAAGUCAGUGCUGAAAUAUCCCGGCUUAACCGGGAGGGUGGCAUUGAUACUGCAGAGCUUGAGUGAAGUCGAGGUAGGCGGAAUUGACGGUGCAGCGGUGAAAUGCUUAGAUAUCGUCAAGAACACCGAUAGUGAAGACAGCUUACUAGACUUCAACUGACGCUGAGGCGCGAAAGCUAGGGGAGCAAACGGG
rnacentral:rRNA from 1 species